AGGUGAUAUGAACCGUUAUAACCGGCGAUUUCCGAAUGGGGAAACCCAGUGUGUUUCGACACACUAUCAUUAACUGAAUCCAUAGGUUAAUGAGGCGAACCGGGGGAACUGAAACAUCUAAGUACCCCGAGGAAAAGAAAUCAACCGAGAUUCCCCCAGUAGCGGCGAGCGAACGGGGAGGAGCCCAGAGCCUGAAUCAGUGUGUGUGUUAGUGGAAGCGUCUGGAAAGGCGCGCGAUACAGGGUGACAGCCCCGUACACAAAAAUGCACAUAUUGUGAGCUCGAUGAGUAGGGCGGGACACGUGGUAUCCUGUCUGAAUAUGGGGGGACCAUCCUCCAAGGCUAAAUACUCCUGACUGACCGAUAGUGAACCAGUACCGUGAGGGAAAGGCGAAAAGAACCCCGGCGAGGGGAGUGAAAAAGAACCUGAAACCGUGUACGUACAAGCAGUGGGAGCCUCUUUAUGGGGUGACUGCGUACCUUUUGUAUAAUGGGUCAGCGACUUAUAUUCUGUAGCAAGGUUAACCGAAUAGGGGAGCCGAAGGGAAACCGAGUCUUAACUGGGCGUUAAGUUGCAGGGUAUAGACCCGAAACCCGGUGAUCUAGCCAUGGGCAGGUUGAAGGUUGGGUAACACUAACUGGAGGACCGAACCGACUAAUGUUGAAAAAUUAGCGGAUGACUUGUGGCUGGGGGUGAAAGGCCAAUCAAACCGGGAGAUAGCUGGUUCUCCCCGAAAGCUAUUUAGGUAGCGCCUCGUGAAUUCAUCUCCGGGGGUAGAGCACUGUUUCGGCAAGGGGGUCAUCCCGACUUACCAACCCGAUGCAAACUGCGAAUACCGGAGAAUGUUAUCACGGGAGACACACGGCGGGUGCUAACGUCCGUCGUGAAGAGGGAAACAACCCAGACCGCCAGCUAAGGUCCCAAAGUCAUGGUUAAGUGGGAAACGAUGUGGGAAGGCCCAGACAGCCAGGAUGUUGGCUUAGAAGCAGCCAUCAUUUAAAGAAAGCGUAAUAGCUCACUGGUCGAGUCGGCCUGCGCGGAAGAUGUAACGGGGCUAAACCAUGCACCGAAGCUGCGGCAGCGACACUAUGUGUUGUUGGGUAGGGGAGCGUUCUGUAAGCCUGUGAAGGUGGCCUGUGAGGGUUGCUGGAGGUAUCAGAAGUGCGAAUGCUGACAUAAGUAACGAUAAAGCGGGUGAAAAGCCCGCUCGCCGGAAGACCAAGGGUUCCUGUCCAACGUUAAUCGGGGCAGGGUGAGUCGACCCCUAAGGCGAGGCCGAAAGGCGUAGUCGAUGGGAAACAGGUUAAUAUUCCUGUACUUGGUGUUACUGCGAAGGGGGGACGGAGAAGGCUAUGUUGGCCGGGCGACGGUUGUCCCGGUUUAAGCGUGUAGGCUGGUUUUCCAGGCAAAUCCGGAAAACCAAGGCUGAGGCGUGAUGACGAGGCACUACGGUGCUGAAGCGACAAAUGCCCUGCUUCCAGGAAAAGCCUCUAAGCAUCAGGUAACAUCAAAUCGUACCCCAAACCGACACAGGUGGUCAGGUAGAGAAUACCAAGGCGCUUGAGAGAACUCGGGUGAAGGAACUAGGCAAAAUGGUGCCGUAACUUCGGGAGAAGGCACGCUGAUAUGUAGGUGAAGCGACUUGCUCGUGGAGCUGAAAUCAGUCGAAGAUACCAGCUGGCUGCAACUGUUUAUUAAAAACACAGCACUGUGCAAACACGAAAGUGGACGUAUACGGUGUGACGCCUGCCCGGUGCCGGAAGGUUAAUUGAUGGGGUUAGCGGUAACGCGAAGCUCUUGAUCGAAGCCCCGGUAAACGGCGGCCGUAACUAUAACGGUCCUAAGGUAGCGAAAUUCCUUGUCGGGUAAGUUCCGACCUGCACGAAUGGCGUAAUGAUGGCCAGGCUGUCUCCAC
rnacentral:rRNA from 1 species